AGAUGAGGGCAGCUCUGAGAACGGUGGGGGCCCGGCUGUGGCCCCGGGUUGGGAGACGCCCCAGCCGUUCAGUGUGGAGUUGGGGACGAGCGGGCUCUCUUCUUGGAUUUGAGGAUGUCAGGCACCUCUUUCAUUUUCUUGCUUCAGAGAGUAUGCCUAGACCCAACAGAUGGAAAUUCCUGGAAGGCCGAUUUCCUGGAAGGCCGAUUUAGACUUCAUGGGUGCAUAGGUGUAUGCAGACAGCUGCAAUACAGUCUUCUGCUGCUAAUCUCUCAGCAAUUAUAAAUGGUUUUUAGUUUUAGCAACCUGAAAAGCAAGUCUAUGUGAAGCUCCCGAAAACUUUAAUGUUUACGUGUGAAAUACUGAAAAUCCGCUUCUGCCUUUCAACUCAAAAUUCUUUCACAAAGAAUUCUUUGUUUUGAAUCUGUUUGAUAAGUAAAUAUCGCUUAAGUACCAGUUUCAUUUAUGGUUUCAUUAGUGCUUUUCCCUAAAUAACACUAUGAUUUUAACACUUUGCCAUCUACAGUAAAUUUACUUGCCUAAUGCAGCUACCAAAUACAUUUACAUAUACACAUAUAUAUGUGUAUAUGUAUAUUAAAAGUCAUUAAAAAGCAGAAUGACUAAAAAAAAAAGUUAGAAAUUGUAAAUACAUACAGAUUAUAUAGCGUUGGAUUACAGCUGACAAACCUUAAAACAUCACACAUUGUAAAGAGGUCCUUCUGGGCAUGACAAGUACACAGCUCUUGCCACAUGACACCGGCCACCUUGCAGUCCUGGUACAACCACACCCAAGCUUCCUCUCCUCUGAUCAGCGAGGCAGAUUCAUUGAUAUGUUGGGGCUUCAGGGACAUGUCAGACUGUUAUACACUUUCCCAGAGCUUCCUCCCGUUUGUUCUGCUUAUCUUGUCUUGACCAGUAACAGUUUGCCAACUGACACCAGACCAUAGACUACAGUUUGAAUAGCACUGUCAUAGACUCAAGAUUGGCAACUGUCCAGAAUGUAAACCUAUGCCAAGCACCAAAUGCUUGCCUGGCAGUAGAUGAAGGGAUAUGCCCAUUCUUGCUCUGGUCUGGCUUAUCCCAGCUGAUUGCUUGAGUCUUCUUUAAAAGCUCCACCUCAUCACACAGAUGUGGAAGCUGAGGCUCAGAGGCCUGGAGUGACCUGCUGGUGGGGAUGCAGCUGGAUCCAGAGGAAGAGUUAGAUCCAGGUCCUCUGAACCCCAGCCAAGAGCCCAAAUGCACAGCCACCCAGCCCAGCCCAUGCCUCUCUGAGGUUGAUUUGGGGCUGUCCUUGUGUGUUUCAGUCAAAGAGGGCUACAGAGUCUAGUCAGAGGCUAACAUUGCACUCGAGUUUUGUACCUCUCAGAAAAUGGCGUCCUUCUGGGGAUCAGCCUUGCCAAAGUGGAUGCCAUUGCACUAUAGCUGGUAAACAGCAAGGAGGUGUUAAUCACUGAAGGGAGGUAGAAUGUUUUUCCCCACCAGAGGAGGCAGCGACCACGUCUCCUCUAUGGAGGCAUUCAAGAGCCGUCCAGCUGAAGCAGCAUCACUGUCUGAGCUUGGAAGGCACAAUCCACAUAGGUCUGCAUGGUCCACCGAGCUACAUACCCACGGGGCCAGCGGGAGGUGGGCAGCUGCUGGGCUCUCUUCUGAAGCAGACAGGAUCUCACUCUGUUGCCGAGGCUGGAUCACAGCUCCCUGCAACCUUGAACUCUCCCUCAAGCAAUCCUCCCCACUCUGCCUUCCAAAGCACUAGCAUUGUAGGCCUAAGCCACCACUCCCAUCCACUGUAGUGUAAACUGUCUCCUUCAAUGUUUCCAAUAGUUGCGGAGCAGAUCAGAUAAGGGUUCUUCCUGUCUGUUGCUUCAAGUUUCAUUCUCUCUUUAAAUGAUAUAAGGUUGGCUUCCAUGGUUCCUUCUUAAAGAAUGUUGAAGGUGUGUCUUCAGAUUCAUUUAGUGUUCAUGGAACCCCAGGGAAAGCUGAUGUAAAAACCUCUUUUUUCUCCCAUAUGUCUCAAAAAGUUGUAUUUUCUGGGUCCAAGGGAUCUGCAAGCCUCCUAAAGGCAUUUCCAUUGUCACUACCAUCAGGUGUGAACUGUAAUCUGGCACGUGUAGUUCCAAGAACUGUCAUAAUAGAUGCUGAAGAAACAUUGUGAAGUUAACUCGCUGUUACCAACUGUGAAGUCAUUAGCUAGAGGAAUCUUGGGCGGUCUGAAAUCUGAGAUACUGUGGAAAGAACAGAAAGAUCCUGUAUCUUUCCUAUAAUUGUUCUACUGGAAGUUGUCAUUUUACACAGGAGACAUUCUGUUUUAUUUAUUUUCUUUUGAGCCAGGGUCUCACUCUGUCGCCCAGGCUGGAGUGCGGUGUUGUUACCACAGGUCACUGGUGCCUCCACUGCCUGAGGACUGCUCAAGCAAUCCUCCUACCUCAGUCCCCUGAGGAGCCGGGGCCACAGGCCUGCACCACCACGCCUGGCUAAUUAUUUUUAUUUGUAGAGACGAAGUCUAUCUUGCCUAGGCUGAUCUCGAACUGCUGGGCUCAAGUAAUCCUCCUGCCGUGGCUUCUCAAAGUGCUUGGGAUUACACAUGUAAGCUACCCAUGCCCGGCCUCACAGGAGACAUUUUUGAUGUCCCUCUUGACAGUCUACAAAAGUCUACAAAUCUUUUUUUUUUUUUUUUUUUUUGAGACAGGGUCUUGCUCUGUCACCCAGUCUGGAAUGCAGUGGUGCCAUCAUAGCUCACUACAGCCUGAGCUGUACUGAGCUUGAGGGAUCUUCCCGUCUCAGCCUCCUAAGUAGCUGGGACUACAGGUACUUGCCACCAGGCCCAGAUAAUUUAUUUAAAAACUUUUUUUGUAGAGACAGGGUCUCACUAUGUUGCCCAGGCUGGUCUCAAACUCCUGGCCUCAAACAAUCCUCUACCUCAACCCCCCUAAGUGCUGGCAUUACAGGCAUCAGCUGCCAUUCCUGGCUACAAAUCUUAAUGUUUUCCCCAUGGCUUCUUUUUCUGGUGUUCUUUUCUCAGGUAAUGGAAGUGGGCAGAGAAUGAUCCUUUCCCUAGGCUCCAGUGUGUAAGAAUUAAAGAAAGAGGAAAGAAAUACAAUGGCUUGAUGGUCAAGGACAGGUUUAUUUUAAAGAAAACAAACCCGAGAGUGGCUUCUGGCUGAGUUAGAUCAGAGGCAUGCUCUCUUACAGACUAAGAGUUUUUAAGGAUUCAGGGUGGGAGAGUUUAUCAGAGGCUUGGACUGCUUCUGUGUCUCUUUAGGUGUGCUUAUCUGGGAGGGAGUUGUGUGUCUGUUUCCAUACAUCUUCCUGCAGCUGCAGGCAUACCCCCAAGUCUGCUUUUAGCUUCCCUAUCUUAGUGCACCUGAAGGGAAAGAAUGUGCUUAUUAAGGCCCACUGUUAUACUGGGGCCCAAUGUAUGAGGAUGAAGUUUGGCAAUUACCCAAGAGACUUUCCCCCCACCUCCCUCUGUGCCUGAGCUGUCUCAUCUAUGUUUUACUGUCUGCUCUUUCUGUCUGCUUGUUGUUAGAAGAGAAGUGAUUUUCUUGAAAUGCAUGAGGCUGGAAAGGGAGCUGGCACUUAAAGUGGCGGUGUUUGUCCGAGAGGAUGGUGCUCCUGCUCUGUCACAGUGGGCAUGGGGAUUCAGGCCACUGCCACCGAAUUUCAAGAGCCCAAGCACAGAGCCCAGAACUAAAUUGUGAGGGUUUAAAAAAAAAAAAAAAAAAAGCUUUAUUGAAGUAUAAUUGACAUACAAUAAACUUGAAUAUUUAAAGUGUACAA